UUCUAUAUUGACAUUGGAGUAGGUACAUUCAUCAAGACAGAAUCUUCAUUGUGAACUCCCUGGGUGGGAUUCACUUGGUAAGAUUCAAUUCUUUGCUCCAAUUGCUUGUAGACCUAAUUGCAGAAAGUCAAUGAUUCAUACUGUAAAUAUGUUGUCGGUGAAUGAUUAUACCUGAUGCAUAAUUUCAGGGGAUUGAGAAUUGGGUUGAAGUGCCUUCAUGAGGGUAUUAAGCCGAGCUGCAGAAGUGAAGAAAAAUUCAUCAAAAACAACUGUACAGAACAUUUCAUUGACAAAUUCAUCCUGCAUUGGGAUAAGAUGAGCAACCUAAUACCCAAACGAAAUUAUUUAUUGAUGGAUCCCAAAACUUAAUAUGGCUAGAAGAUUUUACCAAAGUGUGGAGGAAGGGAUCUUCAAAUGAUCUUUCACCAUGUCCUACAGCCAGCGUGCCUAGCACACGCGUUAGAGCCACUUUGUCUCUACUCCUUGCAACCUGAAACCAAGAAGUUGAUGUAUUAAGCCAUUUCUGAUCCUCAAGCAAUUUCGAUACCUGCAGGGUAUAAUACAUCGCCAGUACACAAGGAA